CCAGGUCACUGGCAUCCGCUCACCACUAGGUGAGGCUGUGUAGACAGGAAACACCACAUCAUUCACAAGCCAUUUGUAAAACACUGUGUCUAAAUGUGGUGACAUGCAUCAAUUUCAAAGAUUUUACUGAGUUACAGUUCAUAUAAGGAAAUCGGUCAAUUAAAAUAAAUUCACUAGGCCCUAAUCUAUGGAUUUCACAUGACUGGGAAUCAGUGGAGGCAGCUGAGGGUAGGACGGCUCAUAAUAAUGGCUGGAAUGGGUCAAUGGAAUGGUAUCAACCACACAAGCAGGGGGAUAGACAGCAGGGGUCAGUGGUGCUCUGGGGAGCUGCAUUGACCUGGCUGCAAUGCAUCUGCAUCAACAGGAACAAAGGUAAAGUCAGGACAAGUAAGAAUGAGUUACUGGGACUUUUCUGUUAGUGCUAGCAAUCAUUCUACUUAUAUGCAUUACAUAAUCCAACUAGCUAUUUACUAACUAUUUAGAUUAUGCUGUAUGAGUGAGCUGCCGCCCCCUGCUCCUGUGCAGAUGCUCUGUGGGAGUUCCGGGUGCUCCUGGUGAGGGAGAGUAUGACGUCAGGCCUGCUGGAGCUGUACUCCACCCCCUGGGGCUCCUGUGAACCCUCUUUCCUGACGACAAGCAGGCGCUGGAGUUCUACAGGCCAGGUCCUGCCAAACAUAGCAGCACCAGCCUAGAGACCUUCACACUCUUGUCCCAGAAGUACACUGGGAUGUGGAACUGAGAGUUCACAUCAGAGCGUUCCAGUUUUAAGGCAGCCCCUCCCAGAAUGCACAGCAAUGCGCAUCUGGAGAGUAUCCUGGAUACGGUGUCUGCCCCACACUGAAGUACACCGCUACUACAGGCAUGCUGACAGUGAAGGAUGGGGAGAGCCAGGUGUUACCUAUAUGGCUGGACAUUCCUCCUGACAAGCUGCACAAGACCGUGGCUCCAGAUGUGAGGUUAGUCCAGGUAGUGGUUGAGAGGUUCUACUCCUUACUGUCCAUUCCCAGACACACCUUCCUCCAUACCGUCCGCAGCCACUUCCUGUGUGACGAGAACAGUGUCCCCACUGCCCAGGAUUUCCUACUGUUGGAUUUGUAUCUCUCUGCUCACUUGAAUCAACUCCAAAUGUCAUAUUAUCCAGAGCGACUUUUCAUACUGGUCUCCCAUGGGAAUCCAACCCACAACCCUGGCAUUGCAAGCGGCAUGCUCUACCAACUGAGCUACAUGGACUGUGUUUGUACUACUCUACCAGAAUCUACCAUAUCUACAAACAAAUAUAUUUACUGCUGAUCGAGAUUUGAUAUUUGGUUCUGAUCGAGAACACCUGAAGCAGUACAGAGUCAUCAUAGUCACAGAUCUUUGAGGUAUGUUCAGGCACAA